rnacentral:lncRNA from 1 species
UCAGCUUAGUUUUAGAUCUUGAAAAUGAUUCAAAGAAUAAAUACCUAAUGUAGAGAUAAGAGUAAAACAUGAAUAAAAUUUGUUUUUCUCAAUCUUGAUACAACAAAAAUAAUAAAUAAAAAUGAAAAAUAUAUUUUUUAAUAUAAUGAACACUAAAAAUAAACGGAGGGAGUAUUUUGGAAUCCUUCCUAUAAAUAGCACUCCUCUCACUACAAUAAUCUAUCACUCCAUCAUCUACUCUAAUAACACACUUCAAGAAAAAAUGGAAACCACCACCACCUCUGCCGCCGUCACCACCACCGUUAACACCGGCGGUCUUCACUCCGUCAAGGUGAAUCCACGACACCACAUCCUCAACCGCGCAUUUGCACUUAUUUACCUUUUUGCCAUCCUAGUUCUUUUCUAUAACCAUAUACUAAAACUCCUAAAUUCCACAAAUUCCUUUAUAACUUUCUCCAUAGCAUUUUCCAUUUUAAUUUCAGAUUUCAUCUUAGCCUUCAUGUGGACAACUAUUCAAUCUUUUCGUAUGCGUCCACUAACACGUCAACAAUAUCCCCAAAAAAUAACAAAAAACUUUAGUUAUGAUAUUAAUAAUUUUCCAGCACUCGAUAUAUUUAUUUGUACGGCAGAUCCUUAUAAGGAGCCACCGUUAAACGUCGUUAACACGGCGUUAUCAGUUAUGGCCUAUGAUUAUAAUCCGAUCGAAAAAAUAUCGAUUUAUGUAUCGGACGAUGGAGGAUCGGAGCUUACGUUAUUUGCUUUUAUGGAAGCUGCAAAAUUUGCUGCAUAUUGGUUGCCUUUUUGUAGGGAAAAUAAAAUAAUUCAAAGGUCUCCAGACGCAUAUUUCAAUUCUAAUUACACAGAAAAUUCGGAGACAAAGAAAAUCAAGGUAUGCUUUUUUUUUCUCGAAUAUAUAUUACUACUAAACAGAACGUCUAACGUCUAGUGAUUUUUUUAAAUUAAUAAUAGAAAAUUAGUUGAUUUUCAAUAUUACUAAAUCAUGAUUAUAAUGUUUUGAUUUUUCAAAAAUAUCUUAACGUAUAGGUCGGAUAUUCCUUCAAAGAUAUAUUAUUACUAUUUCGAUAUAAUGAUUUAUUUAAGAAUUCGAGCAACAUAGAAACACAAGAUUUUUGGCACGGUUAUUUCUGCAAGCAUGCAUGUGCGAUGUACAUUUAAUUUAUAUUAUAGCCUUCGUUUCAGAUCUGGCUAAGUUUAUUUAUGCGAUAUUUUGGUAAAUUUGUUGUCUAGCAAUUAUUGAUAAAGGGACAUAGAGGUUUGGUACGAUUGAUUUUAUGGUCUAUUAUAAAUAUUAUAUUUAGUUAUAUUAUAUGGUCUUUUCUAUAAGAUGUCGGGUCCCAAUUUAAUAUAUAUGUGGUAGUUUUCACUUUUCGAAAGCUGAUUUGUUUAAUAUUUGAAGUUGAAUUAAAUUUGAUCAAACUAAUAUUAAUUAAAAUUUAUAAGAUAUUCAAAAUAUAUACAAUAAUACUGUAAGUUGCGCAAAAAAUAUAAGUACUUUAUAAAAAUGUUUAUCAAAGUUCACAGAGUUUCAAAAAUUGAAAAGUGACAUAAAUUUAAAAUGAAAGAGUAAUAUGUAACAUAUGAGAUCGUAAAAAAUACAUGAAAUCUUUAUAAAACCAUUUCCCUCUAUUUAAUUAAAUAUAAUUUGUGAUAGGAAAUCAUGAUUCUGGCUAAGGGAAAUUACGAAUAGAAUAUUUGUUUAUCUUACACGAUAUUUCGUAUUUCUAUAUAUUUUAGUUCUUCGAGAUUCAAAUUACGCCGUAUUUUAGUCAAUAUUUUAAAAUAUAAUUAUACAAGAAGAUAAACAACUUGCACUUUGAUUGACUAGUAUCUGGCCUGAGUUAAUUUCAUCAAUUAUCUGAACAUAUUUCAUUAGAUACUUAUUCGUCAUUUUGUUUUUGAAUUCAACCUUUCUGACGUUAUAGCUAAGACAAAAAAAACAGAUAUUUUCUUUAAUUUGUCAUUAUUCAUUUAAAAGUAGCAAAAUAACUAAACUAGUAUAUAUAAAAUGCUCAUAUGUCAUGUUUUUGUUAUAUAAUGUAUUUGACUAAUAAAUCUAGCCAAUAAUAUUGUCACAACUCUUUUAAGAAAAUCUUAUAUUAUUUUUAAAAUGUCAUAAAGCCUUUUACUAUUAUAUACUAGAAUCUUUAUCUUAGGUUAUAAAAGAAAAACAAAUUAUUAUUUUUCCUAGGUAUAUAUAUACAUGAUAUAAUUUUAACAUAAAAAAAUAUAUUUUCACUUAUCUUUCAAUGUGACUCAAGAUAUUAUAUUAUUUAUCUUAUUUCCGAUUGGACUUAAACUUUAUGAAUUUUAUAUUAUAUGUGUAGUUGAUGUAUGAAAACAUGAAGAAAAGAAUAGAAGAAGUGAUUGAGAGGGGAAAAGUGGAUGAAGAUUAUAUUAACAACGAGGAAGAACUUCAAGCUUUUACCAAAUUUUGGACGCCUGAAUUUACUCGUCAUAAUCAUCCUUCUAUUAUUCAGGUAUAUAUAUAUAUAUAUAUCAUAACAGUUUAAUUCACUCGUGAUAUUGUCAUUUUCAACUUAAUUCUAUGACCUUAAAAUAUAUUUCAAUAUUUUGUUAAUAUGAGACUGUCUAAUUUUAAAAUGUGUCACUAUAAAAAGUACAAAAUUACUAAUUAGCUAUUAAUUAAAAGUGCUUAACACAUGUUGCCAAAGAGUCUAAUUUGCGUUUGAUUGUAAACAUGUUACUUAAGAUCAUAUGUUUGGUGAUUAAUUAGGUAACAUCAUAUAUUUAACUUAUCCUUUUAUCAAAUUGGUUGGUGUAGGUUUUGUUAGAAAGUGGCAAAGAUAAAGACAUGACAAGUCAUGGGAUGCCAAAUCUUAUUUAUCUUUCAAGAGAAAAAAACAAGAGUUCCCCUCAUCAUUUUAAAGCAGGUGCCCUCAAUGCAUUGGUAAGUAAAAUCUCAUCAAUUUUAUUUUUUAAAAACAAUUUAUAUUUAUAAAAAAUAUUUUUACUAAUAGUGUAAAUAUCUUUUAAUAAUAUUAAGGAAAAAAGGGCAAAUAUAUCCCUCAACUUGAUUUGAAAUAUAUUCCUCUAUCAUUUAACAAAUGAUACAUAUUUCAACGAUCAGUAAAAAUAUGUAUUUAUCUACUUAGUUUUUGUGGUUUUUUUUACUUUAGUCUAUUAACGAAAACAAUUAAUAUGCAUCGUUUAUUAGUAGCGAAGGUAUAUACGUUCUAAAUUGCAGAGUCAAGGAAUAUAUUUGUCUCUUUUCCAUGUAAUAUUUACACUUGAUGUUGAUAUCUUCGAGUAUAUGCAUCAUUUUUUCAGUGAAUGAUAUAUAUGUUCUAAACAUCGAAGUCAAGGAUUAUAUUUGCCUCUUUUCCCUAAAAUAUUAUCGAAUUGAUUAUUAAUUUCUUCUUGUGAUAGCUUCGAGUAUCGGGAAUAAUGACAAAUGCACCAAUAAUAUUGACACUUGAUUGUGAUAUGUACUCUAAUGAUCCAUCAACACCUCAACGGGCUUUAUGUUACUUCUUGGACCAAACAUUACGGCCCAAUUUAGCCUACGUUCAGUUUCCUCAAACUUUUCAUGGGCUUAAUGAAGCAGAUACUUAUGCAAGUGAGAUAAAAGGCCUGUUUUUUACUAAUCCAAUAGGCAUGGAUGGGCUUAAUGGGCCUAAUUAUGUUGGAACUGGAUGUUUUUUUCGUCGUCGGGCUUUUUUCGGAACUCCAUCUAUGUUCGAGCAUCCCGAAAUUCCAGAACUGUUUCCGGAUCAUGUUGUGAAUAAGCCCAUUAAGGCCCAAGAAAUUUUGCGGCGAGCCUAUUAUGUAGCGAGUUGCAACUAUGAGAGUGGAAGUAAUUGGGGUUCCAAGGUGAGCUUUAGUUUACAUUGCACUACCAACUUUUUUUUAGUGGCAGUUGGUUUGAAUUUGCCAUGUGAUAUUUCUAGUAUACAUGGUAAAUUCGAACUAAUUCCCACAAAAAAGAAUAAUUGCACUGGUUACUUCUUCGUGGCAAUUGGUUCGAACUUUUGAUAUAUAUUAGAUCAUGUUGCCACGAAAAAAUUGCUAGAGCCGAAGACAACAAGUUCAUAAGUCAGUAACUGUGGUGUAUAAUGUAUGUAUAAUCCGUGUUUAAUAUGUAUAUUAUCAGUAUAAUCAGUGUAUACUCUAUGUACACCAGAUAGAAAAAGUAAACAAUGAAUCCGUAGGACUAACAAUUUCAAAAUUAUGCAGAUUGGAUUUAGGUAUGGAUCACUUGUUGAGGAUUACUAUACUGGUUAUAGGCUUCAAUGUGAAGGUUGGAAAUCAGUAUUUUGCAAUCCUAAAAGGCCUGCAUUUUUAGGAGAUAUACCAAUUUCUCUCUAUGAUGUGGUCAGCCAAAACAAGAGAUGGUCUGUGGGCCUUCUUGAAGUUGCUUUCUCAAAAUAUAGCCCAUUAACUUUUGGGGUUCAGUCCAUGGGCCUUGUUAUGGCCCAUUGUUAUGCUCACUAUGCAUUUUGGCCCAUUUGGUCGAUACCACUUACUCUAUAUGCUUUCAUCCCUCAACUUACUCUUCUCAAUGGGGUUACCAUCUUUCCAAAGGUAUGCACCAAUUCAUUUUGGUCCUUUUUAAUAUAUGACUCAACAUAUUUAACGUUCAAUUAAUUAAGUUAUGUGUUUCAGUUCCCUUUGAUGUAGAAAAUACAUUAUAUUAUCGUCAUAUACAAAGCGACACUACAUAUAUAGAGCAUAGCACAUGACUAAUUAAGUGGUGGAACAACUAAUCUUAUGGUAAAUUUGUGGAUAUUGACAAGCAAAUGAAUAGAAGGUGUAAUUGUUUUUCUGAAGGUUUAAUGUUUUUUUUUAUAUUGAUUUCAGGUUUCAGACCCUUGGUUUUUCUUGUAUGUUUUUAUGUUCCUCGGAGCGUAUGGACAAGAUUGCUUGGUUUUUAUGUCUAAUGAAGGGACAUUUAAAAGGUGGUGGAGUGACCAAAGAAUGUGGAUGAUAAGGGGAUUAACAUCUUUCCUAUUUGGAACAAUUGAGUAUUUAACUAAACACUUGGGCAUAUCGACACAAGGGUUCAACGUAACAAGCAAAGUAGUCGAUAAUGACCAAGGUAAAAGGUACCAUCAAGGAAUUUUCGAGUUUGGGGUUGUUUCGCCUAUGUUUGUGAUACUAGCAACAACAUCAAUCAUCAAUUUAGUAGCAUUUCUCAAAUCAUUAGCACAAAUUAUCAAGGGUGAUCAAAAUUUGGAUAGAAUAUUUAUCCAAAUGUUUAUUGCUGGUUUUGUUGUUAUAAAUUGUUUGCCAAUUUAUGAAGCUAUGGUUUUGAGAAAUGAUAAAGGAAGAAUGCCUACAAGGGUCACUAUUUUCUCAACAUUUCUUGCUUGUACUCUCUAUAUGGCAUUUGCUUUUCUUCUAGGAAAUAUGUAAUGGCAAAGUUUAGUGUUUUUUUUUUUAACUUUGAGACCUUUUGUUAUUGUUCUUGUAGUCUUAGUUUAGUUAAGAAGCAAUAUAAGAUUUAGUUGAAAUAUUCAAGAAUAAAAGGAUUAUGUAGAUCUUAUUUAUAUUUUAGUGUAUGUGAAUCAAGUCUGGUAUUUUGGAGAUUAAUUAGUGAUCUUUUUUCAAAUUUUGAUCUUCUAUAUCCACAAACUCUUUUUUGUCUAUAUUCAAACAAAAUUUCAAUUUCAUUCUGACGGUCAUAUUCCUUAUCAAAAUAAAUAAAAAAGGUUUUCAUAUUUAAUGUCAUUCUAAAGUUCGUUCUAUAUAUAAAUAAUAUCGAGAUUAAAAUGAAGUUAUAGUUAGACCCCACAUCCGCUUUCUUGGAAUUAACUGAUAGGCACUUAGUUUUUCAUAGAACAAGCGAAAAAUGACAUGCAAAAUCAAACAAGGCAAAAAGAUGGUGCAUAAAAUCCCCCCACCUCACCAAAAAGUAAAAAAACUUGGUGCUUGCUCGUGACACAUAGGGCUUGCUUUUCGUGAUUAGUGUGAAAUAGAUGUUAGACUCAAUUCAUCAACAAACAGAAGGAUACAACAUCACUCUCGGAAUAAAAGACGACAGAAUUUGACUACCCUAAGCUAGAGGACUUGACGGACCUACUCCUAUCAAAAAGCGAGACUUUACUAAACAUGCAAGAAAGGUGAGAAUAGUCAAUGAAUCGGAAGAGGAAUGUUGAUCGCCUUAGUUUGGUUUGCCUUCUCAUCCAGCUUAAGAUCGGCCAGAUGGGCUUUUGCUUUGUUUACUCGGAGUUCUUUCCGUCUAGUCUGGUUUGCUUCUUUGCGUCACUCGCGGAGUUCUAGUUAGGUGAAUUAUAUCUAUUAUAUCAAGAUUUCUUUUUUGAGUCCACUAAAAGCCCAUUUAUGGCACGUUUAACCCAUUGAAGGGCUUGACUCUUGUGGGAUGGGAUGUGCUCAGCCGCCUCCAACUUUUUCUGUGGUCUUCUAACACAAAAAGAAGAAUAUUUUGGUCUUUGAAGGAAUGAAAAAAAGGAGAGACUGGUAGAGCUCCUCUUUGUCAGCCUUCUAGCUCAUUUUAAAGCGUUGAAGAGAGAGAUAGGACAUUCUAAGCACCACCUCAAAGGACGGACCAAAAACACAAAAUUGACAAUUUAAGUUUUAACUUAUCAUUGAAUCUUUUCAUCAAAUAGUAUAACAGGAAGCUUAUCAUUUUUGAGCAUCCCCUUUACAUCUACAUCACCCUACAAAACAAGAAAACUAUCAGCAAACUUUUCAUGGUUUCUUGAAAAAAACAUGAAAAUUCAAAGCUCAUUGUUCAGACUCUCCAAAAACGCUCUUUUACUCAUGUUACAUCCUUCAAAAAAUAACACUACUAUUUUGUGAGGAUCUAACACACACCAAUCGAUAUUUUUGAAAAGUCUGAGUAGAAAAAGAAAUCAAAAAGAGAAACUAACAUGAAUAAUAACUUAGAUUUGAAUUUCUUGGAAGUAUUACAAGAGGGGAAUUAGAACCAAUAGAAGCUCUUCUUUUGAGAUAAAACAAGUAAAACAAAAGAAACAAGAUUAUAGAGAAAAAAAAUGGAAUUGAAAAAAUGAAAGCUUGAUAAAGUUUAAGUUCAUGUGCUUGAGGAUACAAAUGAGGUGGACUAGGAGAUACAGGUACCCCAUUGAAAAAAAUAAUUAAAUUAGACACUUAAAACUAAGUUUAAUGAAACAAAAAAAAGAAGAAGAAAGAUUAUAAGUUAUAAGCUUAAUAUGUAUAUAGAAACCUUACCUUAUAGCUUUUAUAUACAAAUCAAGAACAAGAAAAUGAAAAAUAAAGUGAAAAAAGUACACGUAAUAAUAAAUAAAAGUUUAUAAUAUAAUGAACAUGUAAAAAUAAACAGAGAUAAUAUUUUGGAAUCCUUUCUAUAAAUAGCACUCCUCUCAUCACAAUAAUCUAUCACUCUAUCAUCUACUCUAAUAACACACUUCAAGCAAAAAUGGAAACCAUCACCACCUCCGCCGCCGUCACCACCACCGUUAACACCGGCGGUCUUCACUCCGUCGAGAUGAAUCCAUGACACCACAUCCUCAACCGCGCAUUUGCACUUAUUUACCUUUUUGCCAUCGUAGUUCUUUUCCAUAACCAUAUACUAAACCUCCUAAAUUCCACAAAUUCCUUUAUAACUUUCUCUAUAUCAUUUUCCAUUUUAAUUUCAGAUUUAAUCUUAGCCUUCAUGUGGACAACCAGUCAACCUUUUCGUAUGCGUCCACUAACACGUCAACAAUAUCCCGAAAAAAUAACAAAAAACUUUAGUAACGAAAUUAAUAAUUUUCCAGCACUCGAUAUAUUUAUUUGUACGGCAGAUCCUUAUAAGGAGCCACCGUUAGACGUCGUUAACACGGCGUUAUCAGUUAUGGCCUACGAUUAUAAUCCGAUCGAAAAAAUAUCGAUUUACGUAUCGGACGAUGGAGGAUCGGAGCUUACGUUAUUUGCUUUUAUGGAAGCUGCAAAAUUUGCUGCAUAUUGGUUGCCUUUUUGUAGGGAAAAUAAAAUAAUUCAAAGGUCUCCAGAUGCAUAUUUCAAUUCUAAUUACACAGAAAAUUCGGAGACAAAGAAAGUCAAGGUAUGUUUUUUUUCUCUCGAAUUUAUAUCACUAAACAAAACGUCUUUAACAUCUAGUGAUUUUUUUAAUUAAUAAUAGAAAAUUAGUUGAUUAUGAUGUUUGGAUUUUUCAAAAAUAUAUGUUGGAUAUUCCUUCAAAAAUAUAUUAUUACUACUUCAAUAUGAUAUUUUUAACAAUUCG